rnacentral:ncRNA from 1 species
CAAAGGUUUGGUCCUGGCCUUAUAAUUAGUUGAAGGUAGAAUUACACAUGCAAAACUCCCUUCACCAGUGUCAAAUCCCUAGAACUUAAAAUUUAAGCUCUAAGGAGAGGGUAUCAAGCACAUUCCUAUAGCUAUAGACACCUUGCCUAGCCACACCCCCACGGGACUCAGCAGUGAUAAAAAUUAAGCAAUGAACGAAAGUUUGACUUAGUCAUACCUUACAGGGUUGGUAAAUUUCGUGCCAGCCACCGCGGUCAUACGAUUAACCCGAACUAAUUAUUUCCGGCGUAAAACGUGUUAUAUAACCACACUAAUAGGAUUGAAGUCUAACCAAUAUGUGAAAAUUCAUUGUUAGCCCUAAAUUCAGUAACGAAAGUAAUCCUAAUAACUCCAACACACGAUAGCUAAGCCCAAACUGGGAUUAGAUACCCCACUAUGCUUAGCCUUAAACCUGAGAAGUUAAAUAACAAAACUACUUGCCCGAGAACUACUAGCCACAGCUUAAAACUCAAAGGACUUGGCGGUACUUUAUAUCCAUCUAGAGGAGCCUGUUCUAUAAUCGAUAAACCCCGUUAUACCUCACCACCCCUUGCUAAUUCAGCCUAUAUACCGCCAUCUUCAGCAAACCUUAAAAAAGAAUAGAAGUAAGCAAGAGCACUCCCCGUAAAAACGUUAGGUCAAGGUGUAGCCUAUGAGGUGGGAAGCAAUGGGCUACAUUUUCUUAAUAAGAACAUUCACGCUAUCCUUUAUGAAACCUAAAGGACUAAGGAGGAUUUAGUAGUAAAUUAAGAGUAGAGAGCUUAAUUGAAUAGAGCAAUGAAGUACGUACACACCGCCCGUCACCCUCCUCAAACUGGGCUGCCAAACCCUAUACCUAAUAACAACCAUUAAGCUCACGAGAGGAGAUAAGUCG